GAGUAAGAGCGUAAAUGUGGGGACCCGAAAGAUGGUGAACUAUGCCUGAAUAGGGCGAAGCCAGAGGAAACUCUGGUGGAGGCUCGCAGCGGUUCUGACGUGCAAAUCGAUCGUCAAAUUUGGGUAUAGGGGC
rnacentral:ncRNA from 1 species